GACGUAGGUGGCGAACGUUAUCCGGAAUUAUUGGGCGUAAAGGGUGCGUAGAUGAUUUGACAAGUUAGUGGUGGGAAACCGAGGCUCAACCUCGUGGAAGUCACUAAUACUAUCAAACUAGAGUGCAGGAGAGGUUAACGGAACACCAUGUGUAGCGGUAAAAUGCGACGAUAUAUGGAUGAACACCGAUAAAGGCGAAGGCAGUUAACUAUUCUGCUACUGACAUUGAGGCACGAAAGCGUGGGGAGCAAAACGG
rnacentral:rRNA from 1 species